UACGUAGGGUGCAGGCGUUAAUCGGAAUUACUGGGCGUAAAGCGUGCGCAGGCGGUUCGUUAAGUCAGAUGUGAAAGCCCCGGGCUCAACCUGGGAACUGCAUUUGAAACUGGCGGGCUUGAGUGUGGCAGAGGGGGGUGGAAUUCCGCGUGUAGCAGUGAAAUGCGUAGAGAUGCGGAGGAACACCGAUGGCGAAGGCAGCCCCCUGGGCCAACACUGACGCUCAGGCACGAAGCGUGGGAGCAACAGG
rnacentral:rRNA from 1 species